rnacentral:misc_RNA from 1 species
CUUGCCUGAUCAAUCCACCCCUCUGCAUGCACAGAGUUCGAAGAUACAUUAGGUUUGACUAAAAUGUGCGUCUAUAUAUCAAGAAAAAAUAUUUGCUAUAUUACUACAGAAAUCCAGAAAACCAUCCAAUUGGAAAAUCUCCCAAUGGCCAACUGAAAAUAACAUGUUAAAUGAUAAAGAAAGGCAUUCCGCUUUCAAAAUUGUUAGAAACACCAAAGUGUAAUAUGAGCAAUUUUUUGUAAAAAUAUUAUCACCAACCUUGAUCUUAGCUAACAUCAGCUU